UGAGUAGGUCGGACGGUCGCGGGGACAAAGGCGAAAGCCUGUCCAUGAGGAAAGUCCGGGCUCCGCAGGGCAAGGAUAACGGGUAACGCCCGCCGAAGGCGACUUCAGGAAAAGUGCAACAGAGAUAUACCGCCUCGUUUUCGAGGUAAGGGUGGAAAGGCGAGGUAAGAGCUCACCCGGCGGCGUGUGAAAGCGUCCGCCGCUGUAAACUCUAUUCGGAGCAACACCGGUAUGGGAGCAAUAGGCCGGCCCGGCUGCUCCCGAGGUGGCUGGAGCGCACCGGCAACGGUGCGCGUAGAUAGAUGACCGUAUGACAACAGAACCCGGCUUAUAGACCUGCUCACUCA
rnacentral:RNase_P_RNA from 1 species